ensembl:lncRNA LINC02222 long intergenic non-protein coding RNA 2222
AAAUUCCAUCAGCACUGCACAGUUUGCAUAAAUCAACCCAUUCAUCCUCCACCUCAGCUGUGCCCAAAGAUAAGUUUACUAUCCCCAGACCUCAGAUGGACAUGGUGCAGAGUCGAAUUUACCAAGCUCUUGGUCUUUUAAAUGGAAGAGGCACAUGUGACCUCGGCAAUGAGUGGAAGGUUAAUGCCAUGGGCUACUGCACUGAAUUUGUCACAAAGCCCUGGUAUAAUUUCUUGCUAAGCCAAGUUACUCCAGCAGUUGCAGUGAGCUGAGAUCAUUCCAUUGCACUCCAGCCUGAGUGACAAAAGCGAGACUUCCUCUCAAAAAAGAAAAAAGAAAAGAAAAGAAAGAGAUCAGGCUCUUGGUGGUGGUGAAUAUAGAGAAGCUGCUCGGGGGGCUCUGGGGCAGUGGGGGAAGGGACGUUCUUCCUCCUUCACAUGGGCCUAUGCUUCAGAGCCAUGGGGAGAGUUUCUGUUCUUUCCUGUGGUGCCCACAUCAGCCUGGAGGGAUGGGCAGGGCAGGGGCUGCCACCCAGAGUUGACAGCUCUGGGAAGUGAAAUGAGGGAUUUGAAGUGACCUGCCCAGAGUCACAGCACUCGGGAGUGAUGGAUCUGGGACAAGAAUGUAGUUGGUUUUCUGGGGACAGAGGUCCCUGAACGCCUGAGACCUCCAAAUCAUGGACUGGACCCUGAACCAGGGGCUCUUUUCACUCCCUUUCUCGAUCCUCCUGCCCCAGGUCUCUUCAGGAAGGUGGAUGCCUGGAGGUGGCUAAGUCCAGAGAAGAGCUUCAAUCAUUCAAACAGAAACCUCCGGCCCCUGACCUUGCUUUGUGGUGAGCACAUGACCAGUGACCAUCCCAAGGGACCAGGGGGGUCUGUUUGGCCGCCAGGCUGGCUCAGAACUCAGGACGUUCCAAGCCAACUGCCACUUAACGGCUGUGCCAGGAAAAAACCUUCCUGCAACUGACCAACCCUGCAGGAGCAGUUAACGGAAGUUAACUGAAAAUGUGGCCAUCGGGGCUGGUGCAUCAGUGGUUUGAUGAAUUCUAUCCACGACCCAUCCAUCUUGCUGACGGCCGACCUGAGCAGCUACCUGAGAGCUGGCAGCGCUCGCUCGAUGAAGGCCGCCGAAUGACCUGGAAGCCACCCUGAUGGGCAGGGCCCUCGAGGUUAAUGAGACACAGGUUUGGAUGUCUCUAUUCAGAAGACUUUGGCCUGUAAUCCCCCUCUCAUGGGCUGUCUCACACCGCACUUGGUAUCAAGAUUCUCCCGAUCUGGUGAAGGCAGUGUUGCUGUGUUCCUUCUGGAUCUAUUCUAUGGAAAAGAGUGCAUAAAAUUGGCAUGGGAAAUGGGACAUUUUUCUAAAUAGAGGAAAAUAUUUAAGGCAAAAAUCCUGAUAGAAAAAUCAAGAAUACAAAUUCAGAGCUUGGGAAAUUCAUCUCUCCACCAUCUCCAAUCUGAGGACGGGGUAUGUUACACUAACCUUCAGGUACAGCUGUGAUGAAGGAUGAAGUGUUGACUGAUGCGGGGAUGGAAUUUUGUUUCUAGAACAUUGAUCCUUGGGUUGUGCUUUGCACAGAGGAGCAUGCUUUCUAGAGAAAUGCACACACACUCCCAAAGGCAUUCACCAUCACUCCACACGGACUCUCUCCUCCAUAUCUCCCCACCCUGAUGCACCCCUAUUCCUAUUUAAAUGACAUCACUGCUUCUGGGAACUGCAGUGGAUGGCCACAGUUGUUGACUAAACUCUUCAUUUCUUUACACCAAACUGCCCAAACCUCAUUUCCAGCAGGAGGCUCAAACCAGGGUAGUUCUCCAGCAAAAGUAGGGAGGAAAGUGUCACCUUUCUCAAAGCUAAGAUUUUUCCUUAUUAAAUGGGAGAUCCCAGAGUACGCACGUUAGAGCUGAAUCGCUGAGUGUGUCUGCAGAGAGAAAGGAAAACACCGUGAGCCUCAGACCAUGCUGUGUCCUGUGUUCAUGGGUCUUUUCUUCACUUGGUGACAUUAGAAAACUGGUUGGGAGAUAGUGCUCGAGGCAAUGGCCCCCAAAUAAAGCCUAGAAGACACUUGAGGAAAUGUACAAGAGUGUUGUAUGAGAUUUUCAAAAAUGAUUUUUGGUUGCAAAGUCACCGCUGUUUUCAAGAAUGCAUUUCUCCUGAGGACAAUGCUCUCUGCCAUGCAGUUUAUCACUAACACUGUCAUCUAUGAGUGCCAUCUGGAACAAGUUCCAAGUUGGCAAUGAAUGGGCUCUCACAUACCUCUGCCCACCAAGAAAUUCUGUGGCUCAUCUGUAAAGUCCGUGGUAAGAAUUACAUAUCUUAAUUCAGAGAAAAUAGAAAGAAACCAAAAGAAAUAAAAUUCCCAUCUCAGACAAAGAAAGAAGACUUUACCGAGUGUGCUGCCUGGAUCAGGUCCCAAGAAUCCAGCGAGGGAAACCGCCAAUUCUGGCGGUAGAAGAAGCCUAGGAAACAUAGAGUCACUGUCAGCCGUGGGAGCUGCUGAAGGACCUCUGGCAGCCUUGGGUGCUGAGGACACAGGACUGGCGUGUGUGGAGGAGGUGGGUGAGAGCACGGGCGGAGCUGCUGCUGGGCCACCCUCCUUGGUGGUGAAGGGCAGGCAAUGGACGCCAUCAGGAGAGCCCUGGGAGACACAGCCUCGGGUCCCUGGCUAAGCCGCCCUCAUCACUGUGAAGUAGGCAGUGUUUACACAGGCAGCACAGAAAUGCACGACAUCACUCCAGGACAGGGUCUCCUCACAGAAAGAGGCCUGGAAAAUGUCCUCUAUUUUAAAACAAGUUACCAUGUUUAACAUUCCUGAAUCUAUAUAUGCUCCUUCUGCACUUAUCAUCUCUAUUAUUGGAUUUUUUUUUUUUUUUGAGACAGAGUCUCACUCUGUUGCCCAGGCUGGAGUGCAGUGGUGUGAUCUCGGCUCACUGCCACCUCUGCCUCCUGGGAUCGAGCGAUUCUCCUGCUUCGGUCACCUGAUAUUAUUGGAUUUUAAAGCAUUAUUGUGAGAAAUACACAAUAUGUAUUAUUUUAA